rnacentral:misc_RNA from 1 species
GAUGAAGAACGUAGCGAAAUGCGAUAAGUAAUGUGAAUUGCAGAAUUCAGUGAAUCAUCGAAUCUUUGAACGCACAUUGCGCCCGCCAGUAUUCUGGCGGGCAUGCCUGUUCGAGCGUCAUUACAACCCUCAGGCCCCGGGCUUGUGUUGGGGACCUGCGGCUGCCGCAGGCCCUGAAAUGCAGUGGCGGGCUCGCUGUCACUCCGAGCGUAGUAGUUACAUCUCGCUCUGGGCGUGCUGCGGGUUCCGGCCGUUAAAAGCCUUAUUUACCCAAGGUUGACCUCGGAUCAGGUAGGAAGACCCGCUGAACUUAAGCAUAUCAAUAAGCGGAGGA